CGGACGUGGGGAACCUGCCCUAUACAGGGGGAUAACAGCUGGAAACGGUUGCUAAUACCGCAUAAGCGCACAGAAUCGCAUGAUUCAGUGUGAAAAGCCCUGGCAGUAUAGGAUGGUCCCGCGUCUGAUUAGCUGGUUGGUGAGGUAACGGCUCACCAAGGCGACGAUCAGUAGCCGGCUUGAGAGAGUGAACGGCCACAUUGGGACUGAGACACGGCCCAA
rnacentral:rRNA from 1 species